rnacentral:rRNA from 1 species
UAGUUAUGAUCUUGAAAAUUAAAAAAUUUGGCGGUUUUUUAGUCUAUUCAGAGGAACCUGUUCUGUAAUCGAUAAUCCACGAUUUAAGUUACUUAUAUUUAAUAGUUUGUAUAUCGUUGUAAUUAAAUAUUUUAAUAAAAUAUAAUAUUUGAAAAUUUUUAUUAAAAAAUAAAUCAAAUCAAGGUGCAGUUUAUAUAUAAGAUGAAAUGGGUUACAAAAAUUUAUAAUUUUGAAUUAAUAAUUAAAAAUUAUUUUGAAAUUGGAUUUGAUAGUAAUUUUAUAAAAAUUUAUAAAAUGAUUUAAGCUCUAAAAUAUGU